UUGCCCCAGUAACGGCGAGUGAAGCGGCAACAGCUCAAAUUUGAAAUCUGGUCCCCAGGGCCCGAGUUGUAAUUUGCAGAGGAUGCUUUUGGUGAGGUGCCUUCCGAGUUCCCUGGAACGGGACGCCAUAGAGGGUGAGAGCCCCGUCUGGUUGGAUACCGAGCCUCUGUAAAGCUCCUUCGACGAGUCGAGUAGUUUGGGAAUGCUGCUCUAAAUGGGAGGUAUAUGUCUUCUAAAGCUAAAUAUUGGCCAGAGACCGAUAGCGCACAAGUAGAGUGAUCGAAAGAUGAAAAGCACUUUGAAAAGAGGGUUAAAUAGUACGUGAAAUUGUUGAAAGGGAAGCACUUAUGACCAGACUUGGCCCCGGUGAAUCAUCCAGCGGUUCCCGCUGGUGCACUUUGCCGGGGUUCAGGCCAGCAUCAGUUCGCUCCGGGGGAUAAAGGCUUUGGGAAUGUGGCUCCCUCGGGAGUGUUAUAGCCCAUUGCGUAAUACCUUGUGGCGGGCUGAGGUUCGCGCUUUAUGCAAGGAUGCUGGCAUAAUGGUCAUCAGUGACCCGUCUUGAAACACGGACCAAGGAGUCGUCUUCGUAUGCGAGUGUUCGGGUGUCAAACCCCUACGCGUAAUGAAAGUGAACGCAGGUGAGAGCCCUCCAGGGCGCAUCAUCGACCGAUCCUGAUGUUCUCGGAUGGAUUUGAGUAAGAGCAUACGGGGCCGGACCCGAAAGAAGGUGAACUAUGCCUGUAUAGGGUGAAGCCAGAGGAAACUCUGGUGGAGGCUCGCAGCGGUUCUGACGUGCAAAUCGAUCGUCAAAUAUGGGCAUGGGGGCGAAAGACUAAUCGAACCUUCUAGUAGCUGG
rnacentral:rRNA from 1 species